GUAGGGAAUCUUGCGCAAUGGGCGAAAGCCUGACGCAGCCAUGCCGCGUGAAUGAUGAAGGUCUUAGGAUUGUAAAAUUCUUUCACCGGGGACGAUAAUGACGGUACCCGGAGAAGAAGCCCCGGCUAACUUCGUGCCAGCAGCCGCGGUAAUACGAAGGGGGCUAGCGUUGCUCGGAAUUACUGGGCGUAAAGGGAGCGUAGGCGGAUAGUUUAGUCAGAGGUGAAAGCCCAGGGCUCAACCUUGGAAUUGCCUUUGAUACUGGCUAUCUUGAGUAUGGAAGAGGUAUGUGGAACUCCGAGUGUAGAGGUGAAAUUCGUAGAUAUUCGGAAGAACACCAGUGGCGAAGGCGACAUACUGGUCCAUUACUGACGCUGAGGCUCGAAAGCGUGGGGAGCAAACAGGAUUAGAUACCCGAGUAGUCC
rnacentral:rRNA from 1 species